AGAAGAAAAGAAAAGCUGAGAAAGAGAAGCUAGAAGGCAACGGUCUCAGGUGCUUCAGGUCCGGUGAGAAGGAGAGCCGCAACGGAGGCUAGGGUUUCGAGCAGGGGUUUACGUGUCGCCACCGGUUCAGCUCGGCCAGAUUUCUGAGGACUUGAAAGCUUACAGCGACAAUGAUUCUCAAUGGCCUCUUCCUAUGGCCAUCAAAGGCCCUUGUCCUUUGGGUCAGAUCAGUUGUGAUGGUGUGGUGGUGGAUGACGGCUCCACCCCGUGUGAUGGCGGUGGUAGGAUGGUACGACUGGGGUUCUAGGGUUGCUAGGGCAACCUCAGAUACUUGAAUCGGUGCUCCGGGGAAGUCGGCUAGGUUUCCGGCGAGAAUUUCGGUAAGCCUUUUUUGUCUGCAUGUCUCCACAAUGUGACACCAAUGGAAAUGAAUAGUGCCAGAGAUCAGUGUGGCACCUGUUUGUUACACGGUUUUGGCGGCGAAAGAUUCAUCACCAAAUGUGACGCGCGCUAUCGUUUACCACUUCCACAACACUCACUAAAAUCCUAACGCCUAUGUUCAACUUCAUAUUUCACGCCUCUUCAUCCUGAAUCAUCAUCUGGUUCUGGUUGCAACUAUACUAUAGAGAGAGAUAAAUCUGAGAUAAGGGAGAUGGCGAUGAUGUUAGAAAGCCUUGAUGAUGACAGAGAUGGUUGACCCACACCGCCGACAGCAUUGUUUCCGGCGGCGGGGUUGCUAUUGGUGGUCUAUAUAUGUCAUCCGGUGGCCAAGGUCGCGCUAUGAAACACUACUGUCGGCGGUGUGUUCUUAAUCAGAACCGCUAGCGGUGGGCUAAGUUCCGGCCGCCAAUCAAAUUUUUGGUGAAGUAGCUCAGACAUGUGUCUUUUUACUUCAGAUUGGUUACACCCAAGAUACCCUCGAGGCGAAGGUUUGGGUCAAGCCAUGGAUGAACUUUGACGAAUUGCAGGGUUUUGAAGUUGUUCACGCUUAGCUUUCUUCUGCUGGCCAGAAACUCUCCUGGACGGGCACAGAGGUUUGCGGCUGCUAUCGGGAUUUCAAAAGGGAUUUGGUUUCUAAGCACACAUAUCACACAAAGAAUAUUCCCAAACAACCUUAAA